rnacentral:rRNA from 1 species
UGCAAGUCGAGGGGUAGAACACUUCGGUGUUUGAGACCGGCGCACGGGUGCGUAACGCGUAUGCAAUCUACCUUGUACAGGGGAACAGCCCAGAGAAAUUUGGAUUAAUGCCCCAUAGUAUAUAACCUUCGCAUGUUGGUUAUAUUAAAGUUCCAACGGUACAAGAUGAGCAUGCGUCCCAUUAGUUAGUUGGUAAGGCAACGGCUUACCAAGACGAUGAUGGGUAGGGGUCCUGAGAGGGAGAUCCCCCACACUGGUACUGAGACACGGACCAGACUCCUACGGGAGGCAGCAGUGAGGAAUAUUGGUCAAUGGUCGCAAGACUGAACCAGCCAUGCCGCGUGCAGGAAGACGGUCCUAUGGAUUGUAAACUGCUUUUAUACAGGAGGAAACCCUCCCACGUGUGGGAGCUUGACGGUACUGUAGGAAUAAGGAUCGGCUAACUCCGUGCCAGCAGCCGCGGUAAUACGGAGGAUCCAAGCGUUAUCCGGAAUCAUUGGGUUUAAAGGGUCCGUAGGCGGUCUUAUAAGUCAGUGGUGAAAGCCCAUCGCUCAACGAUGGAACUGCCAUUGAUACUGUAAGACUUGAAUGCUUAGGAAGUAACUAGAAUAUGUAGUGUAGCGGUGAAAUGCUUAGAUAUUACAUGGAAUACCAAUUGCGAAGGCAGGUUACUACUAAGUGAUUGACGCUGAUGGACGAAGCGUGGGGAGCGACAGGAUAGAUACCUGGUAGUCACGCGUAACGAUGAUACUAGCUGUCGGAUAUCUGAUGCU